rnacentral:lncRNA from 1 species
AUGCUGUACACCUAUUCUACUGUAUUCUUCAGGAGGUUUUAAGUAUUGCACCAUUUGGUAUAUAUAUAUUAUUAAUAAAGCACAUCAAACAUUUUUCUAUUCAUUUUAAAUUCUCAUUUAUUUACAGAUUUGCCAAGCAAGCAGCAGAUGGAGUAGAGCAGACCUCUUUUCUCGACUGCAGUGGCUUGGCAUUGGAUGCCCUAAUAAGAAGAUUGACUUGACUUUUUAAUGCGAUUCCGUGUAUCACACAACUUACAAGACAAUAUGUUUCAUUAUAUAUCUAUGAUCAUAUUUAGGAUACAUGUUAAUGACCAUUGUAAGAUUGUGUGUAACAUACAAGACUUAGGCCACUUGCAUCAAGGUCAAGUUCAGAUAUAGAAUUCAGCUGCAUACAGUCUACCACAUAGCUAAUAAACCCUAUGAAAGGAGCUGUCGGUAUUUCCAUGGUGCAGCUAUCACCAGUUUCAAAAUGGAAACAGAUGGUGAGUCUCAAGCGAAAAAGAAAAGUGGACCUCUCCUAACAACUUAAAAGGAGAACAUUAUCUUGCAUAGCAUUUUUCUCCGAAGGGAUUGAUUCAAACAAGCACAUUGUGACAAGUAUCCCACUGAAGGCAAGUUCUACAACAAGGAGACGGACUCCACUGGUUGAUCAAUAUAUCGACGUUCAAAAAGGGCUUAAAUUUGUUUACCGAUCAAAACUAUGCCAUAAGACAUGAAUCACCCUCCAAUUAAAACAAAACAUAUGGAGAAGUCAGUCACUUUCAAAUCAAGUAACAAUUUAAGAUAUGAGACGAUUCUAAUGACGACAAUGAAUAUGGAGAAGUAUAAUGUACUUGAAAAUGUUUAAUGGAAAUAGAGGAAUGUGAAACUUCUUUGUAUUUAUUUGGUUCUCAUGAAGGCUUUGUCAUUGAUAAGGCUGGCAGAUAAGUUGAUUUAUUUCUUUGUUUUCAACAAAAAGAAAAGUUGAAAAGUCUAAAUUUAAGCAUUUUAGGAGUACUAAAAGAUGUUAUAGAAAUAUUUGAGAUAGAAUGUAAAAACUGGCCCUUCUUAGGGUCUGCUAAUUUAGGGCUAAAAUAAAAUAAAAACAUAUAA